rnacentral:rRNA from 1 species
CCUACGGGUGGCAGCAGUGAGGAAUAUUGGUCAAUGGACGGAAGUCUGAACCAGCCAUGCCGCGUGCAGGAAGACGGCUCUAUGAGUUGUAAACUGCUUUUGUACAAGGGUAAACCUGAAUACGUGUAUUCAGCUGAAAGUACUGUACGAAUAAGGAUCGGCUAACUCCGUGCCAGCAGCCGCGGUAAUACGGAGGAUCCAAGCGUUAUCCGGAUUUAUUGGGUUUAAAGGGUGCGUAGGCGGAUUGAUAAGUUAGUGGUGAAAUGUCCGAGCUUAACUCGGGAACUGCCUCUAAUACUGUUGGUCUAGAGUAUAGAUGCGGUAGGCGGAAUGCAUGGUGUAGCGGUGAAAUGCUUAGAGAUCAUACAGAACACCGAUUGCGAAGGCAGCUUACCAAUCUAUAUCUGACGUUGAGGCACGAAAGCGUGGGGAGCAAACAGGAUUAGAUACCCCUGUAGUC